GCUGGAAUCGCUAGUAAUCNCAGAUCAGAAUGCUGCGGUGAAUACGUUCCCGGGUCUUGUACACACCGCCCGUCACACCAUGGGAGUUGGAAAUGCCCGAAGUCAGUGACCGAACCGAAAGGAAGGAGCUGCCGAAGGUGGAGCCGAUGACUGGGGUGAAGUCGUAACAAGGUAUC
rnacentral:rRNA from 1 species